UCACACUGCGCCAUAAAUCACAAACUUUUAGCUUUAUUGUAAAAACCGAACCAAAAAUCAUAAUUAGCCAUAAAAAACCUAAUGAAAACGAUAAACAGCCAUGGCGGAUAGAGCAGAAUGUCAAUUGCAGUACGAGUUCAAUGCGGAAGGAAGCAGACAUCAUGCUAAAUAUUAUCUCUCGCAUGUGAACUUUAGUCUUGUGCAGAAAGCCGAUGCACGACACAUCCAGCGCCCACGUUGUUACUGGCGAGAUCUACUCCAUAGUAGGAAAGUUGUACGGCGCGUGGAUCGGUGAGCGUCGCACCAAGUCGGAAAAUACUGAAGAGCUGAAGCGUGCCUUGGAGGAUUUGCCUAGGGAUGUCUUCUGCGAUGUUGACUCGCGGUCAAAAUAGGUGGUCAGGCUGCUGGCGAUUUCUGCUCCCAGGUGGUAAAGUUGAAAGGCACGCAAAUGCAUGACCAGUCGGAAACUAUGGAACGCGAAAGUAGAUGAUCGAUUGUCGCUGCUGUUCCCCCCGGCAAGAGUUCUCAAAUUUUGGCAAUGAUGCCAAGAUCGCACUGACAGUCACAACAAACAAUGACGGUCAUUAUGGUCCCAAUGUGCGGUUUGAAGAGUCAGAGGAGAGUGACAAUAUAAACAGAUAUAUGUAUUUGGCGAGGCAAAGGACGAUUAUAUACCAGAUAAGGAUAUACAGACAAGCAUUGAUUUUUGGCCAAUGAAGAGGCUGCCAGCAAUGUGUAGAAAUAUCGUGUUCUACAUCCCCUGAACAUCGGCGCCUAUUGGCUGGAAAGUUAUCUGAGCAAAAUUUUUAAAGAACACCAUGGAGUCGCAAAAUAAGUCUGCCGAUGUACUCAAGAUCCCAAAAAAUGCCAGCAUUGCCAGCUCGCAGACAGCGACCCAGGACAUACAUAGGCAAGGAUUCGUAUCAGCGACAUGUGCCGCAAUUUGGUGUGACGAAAAUUGGAACCGUUUUUGUUUUCAUAGAGCUGAAGGAUGAGGAUCGCACGCUUCUAUUGCCGCUUUCCUAUACACAGAUGGCCGAUAGGGCCCAUUGAACUCAGCUAUGUGGGGAUCCAGCUGAAGCGUGAAUGUCUCCAGUUAAUCCAACUUUUGUACUGCGGAAGAUCG